rnacentral:rRNA from 1 species
CCUACGGGCGGCAGCAGUGGGGAAUAUUGCACAAUGGGCGCAAGCCUGAUGCAGCCAUGCCGCGUGUGUGAAGAAGGCCUUCGGGUUGUAAAGCACUUUCAGCGGGGAGGAAGGCGGUGAGGUUAAUAACCUCAUCGAUUGACGUUACCCGUAGAAGAAGCACCGGCUAACUCCGUGCCAGCAGCCGCGGUAAUACGGAGGGUGCAAGCGUUAAUCGGAAUUACUGGGCGUAAAGCGCACGCAGGCGGUCUGUCAAGUCGGAUGUGAAAUCCCCGGGCUCAACCUGGGAACUGCAUUCGAAACUGGCAGGCUAGAGUCUUGUAGAGGGGGGUAGAAUUCCAGGUGUAGCGGUGAAAUGCGUAGAGAUCUGGAGGAAUACCGGUGGCGAAGGCGGCCCCCUGGACAAAGACUGACGCUCAGGUGCGAAAGCGUGGGGAGCAAACAGGAUUAGAUACCCGGGUAGUC